rnacentral:rRNA from 1 species
CUCGUAGGCGGUUCGUCGCGUCCGGUGUGAAAGUCCAUCGCUUAACGGUGGAUCCGCGCCGGGUACGGGCGGGCUUGAGUGCGGUAGGGGAGACUGGAAUUCCCGGUGUAACGGUGGAAUGUGUAGAUAUCGGGAAGAACGCCAAUGGCGAAGGCAGGUCUCUGGGCCGUCACUGACGCUGAGGAGCGAAAGCGUGGGGAGCGAACA